rnacentral:misc_RNA from 1 species
UCCGGCUUGUCGCCGGCGGUCCCUCUAGAGUGCCCAACUGAAUGAUGGCAACUAAAGGCGAGGGUGCGCUCGUUGCGGGACUUAACCCAACAUCUCACGACACGAGCUGACGACAGCCAUGCAGCACCUGUGUUCGCGUUCCCUUUCGGGCACCCCCGCCUCUCAGCGGGCUUCGCGACAUGUCAAGGGUAGGUAAGGUUGUUCACGUUGCAUCGAAUUAAUCCACAUCAUCCACCGCUUGUGCGGGUCCCCGUCAAUUCCUUUGAGUUUUAACCUUGCGGCCGUACUCCCCAGGCGGUCAACUUCACGCGUUAGCUUCGUUACCAAGGAAUUGCUUCCCCGACAACCAGUUGACAUAGUUUAGGGCGUGGACUAC